rnacentral:tRNA from 1 species
UCUCCAAUAGCUCAGUCGGUAGAGCGACGGACUGUUAAUCCGCAG